AUUAGUAUCAUGUCUAUUCUACUUGCCUGAGUUUUAUCUCUCCUCCGCCAUGUAUAUUGUUCAACGUUUGGAUUCAAACAUCUCCAGAUAUCGAUUAGUUUGUUUGAUUUUAACAUUAAUUUCAAACUAUUUACUGGUUUUGAAAUCUGGCUAUUUGGUCGUGUUGUUUUUCUAUCUAUAACAUGUAAAGUAUCAUUGAAAUCUCCCCCAAUAAUCGGUAUACCGAUACCAAAUUCUUUUAUAUUAUCACUUACCUUUUUAAAAAACGUAUUUCUAGAUGCUUUAUAAUUUGGUGCAUAUAUACAUACCAACGUAAAUAUUGUUUCGUCAAUUUGUAUAUUGAGCAGAAUUUCUCUCCCGUCAGCGUCUCGAUUUUCAUUAAUAACAGUAACAUUUAAACUACUCCUAAUUAAAAUAGCGACCCCCCUACUUGCUGUCGUGCCAUGACUACAGAAUAUAUUAAAAUCUUUCUGUAUCGACAUUUCUUUACUUACUUUUUCGUCAAAAUGCGUUUCUUGCAAAAAGGCAAUGUCACAUUUAUGAGCUUUUAACCAUUCGAUAACCCUCUCUCUUUUAUUCCUAUUGUUUAUACCAUUUACAUUGAGACUACAUACAUUUAUUAAAUUUUUUUGAACCAUACUGUGUUAUCUAAUUCAAUUUUCAAACAUGUUACAUAAAUAAAAAUACUACACUGUGAAAUAUAUACAUUACUUCUACAUAGAAGUAUCUCUUGUUUUCUUUUCAACAUAAACAUUAUAAACAAUAACAGAAUACUACAAUUAAAAUGUGUUUUGAAUCCGGCAUGCGAAUUACCACUAGAUUUAACGAUGUGAUACAUAGCCUUGUCUGUAUGUUUACCUAUCCGUGACCUUAUUAAUCUAUUUAAAUUCAUGUUGAAGAUAAGUUGGCCCUCUGGGCACGUGUUUUUGUUGUGUAUUUUAAAUAGUAUCACGACUAGAAAUGUUAUGAUGAUCAUAAAUAAUAACUGUAAAACUGACGUUUCUAAUUUGGAUAUUAAUUCAUAUAUAUUAUGUGUAUUGAAAUUUCGAAACCUUUGUGCGUAUAAGUAUCCUAAAAGUGUUCGACUAUCAGCGUUAAAGUGGAUGUUUUUGUAGCGUAUUUUUGCAUUUGGAUUUAACACUAAACAAGUCGACAAAUAAGCGAUAUAAGGUAUUUCAAUAUCUUUUGACAAACAAGUGAAAAGUUGUAUUUUGGAGCUUUGCCGCUGAGAAAUUCUAUGAGAAAUUUGUGUAUACAUUUGUGUUGUGGUAACAUGAAUUGCAACUAAAAAUUCGUGUAAAUAUUGUAAUAUCAAACAUUUCUGUGGUAACUGUAAUGUAGUACAAGGUAAGACAUUUUUUAUUACUAUUUUAUAGUUAUUUAAUUUAGUUCCAGUAUCUAUAAUGGAUAUUUGUUUUGAUAGUCUUCUGAUAGUUUUAUUAGUUUCUAUUCUUUCGUAUUUCUUUAAAAAGAAAACACAACCGUCACGCAUGCAAUCAUCGACUUUUUUU
rnacentral:lncRNA from 1 species